rnacentral:rRNA from 1 species
AUUGAACGCUGGCGGCAUGCCUUACACAUGCAAGUCGAACGGCAGCACGGGAGCAAUCCUGGUGGCGAGUGGCGAACGGGUGAGUAAUACAUCGGAACGUGCCCAGUAGUGGGGGAUAGCCCGGCGAAAGCCGGAUUAAUACCGCAUACGACCUAUGGGUGAAAGCGGGGGAUCGCAAGACCUUGCGCUAUUGGAGCGGCCGAUGUCAGAUUAGCUAGUGGUGGGGUAAAAGCCUACCAAGGCGACGAUCUGUAGCUGGUCUGAGAGGACGACCAGCCACACUGGGACUGAGACACGGCCCAGACUCCUACGGGAGGCAGCAGUGGGGAAUUUUGGACAAUGGGCGCAAGCCUGAUCCAGCCAUGCCGCGUGCGGGAAGAAGGCCUCGG